ACCCUCCCCUUAACAAAGCAUAAAAACCCAUGACCCUCCCCUAUUUCCCUCCGGUGGUCCAUUCCAUGAAUACCAAACGGUCCCUAGCUUUGUUUUUUUUUGGGCUGGUGUGUG